GGCUGGUGCAUGUGGCAGCAAAUGUGACUUCAUCUCUUCAUAUAGAGGCAGAGUUAAAGGGUUCCAUGUCGAGAUAAUGAUCCACUGGUUGCACACUUCACACAUCAUUCAGAAAGGUGUGCAUAUUUAGCCCUCAUUAGGAUGGUCUUCAUCACAUGAACAGUUGAGUGUGUGAGUGAGAACGAGAGUGAGAGAGACAGAGAAAGAUGAAGGAAGACUGCAUCCCAGACUGGGACUUCAUCCAUCAUUGGAAUCAGCAUGUGCUGUAAUUACUGUGUCAAAUAGAUGGGAAGAUGCCUUUGAGGAGGAUUCCGGCUAUGUGUGUGUGUACGCUUGUGCUUCUCUCCCUCCUGAUCAUUUUCCUCUCCCGAGUCACUUCCUCCUGCACUGUCAUCUGUCAUGCCUACAUAUGCUGUCACCGAGUGCUGGCAGCUCUGCCCAAUCCCUCCACUGCAGAAACAGCGGGAUUUCAUACGCGCUGAAGGUUAUAUAUCACAUCAGUCGAUGAGAAGGCUAUACAUUAGGGAAGACUGAUGCGAUUAGGUAGGGACAGCUAUUCCACAGCACAGCUGUAACCUUUUAUCAGCACAAAAUAUUGUCAGUGCACACAGCGCUGGCUUGAGAUCUAAGACUGGAAGGUGUUCAUUUUCGUUAAAGUGUUAGUCAGAGCCGUAGCCUAGUGGAAAGCAUAUGCUUCAAACACAUUGAGCCGAGGUGCUUAUGUAGAAGACUCACAUGGACUAAAUGCUCUUCCAUUUUGCAUCCUGAUCUCUUUUCCUUAAAAUUCCUUUUCCUGAACAUUUUGCCAGCAUAGCAACGUUGCUAAAAUUACAUUGGCAACCACUCAGCAAUCAUCUAGAACAGUGGUUCUCAACUGGUUUAGCCAUAGGUACCACAUUUUUCCAUGGUCAUUAAGCCACCGCCCAAUUUUGGGGGAAUUUCCUAAAAAAUAUAUAUUAAUAUUGUUAUUAAUACAGGAUAUAUACAUUAUAAUAAAUUUAAAUAAUAAAUAAAACCAAGCAAAUUAAUUUCACAAAAAAAAAAGGUUGACAGACACACACAAGUAGCUACCAUCCCAUUUUACUUAACAUACACAUAAAUUGUAAGAAUAUGACCAAUACUGAUGAAUAAACAGUAGCCUAGAUUUUGUUAAUAUAGUACAAUAUAGUGAGUAAGUUGGUAUGAGCCAAAACAGUCAUUUAAACUAUACAAAACAGCACAAAAUGAAAACAAAGUGGCAUUUUGGGAUUACGGAAAGUACACUUACCAUGGUAAAUACAUGAUGCUAACAUGAACGGCUAACACACAAAGUACCAUUUAUGUAAUUUAGAGGUAGCCUUCUUUUUGGUAAUUUCACGACAUUGCGUUCUGGUAGUUUCUUUUGCGCUUUGUUUAUAAUGAAGUGAUAUACAGCACGCGCCGCCGCAUUUGCGCGUGCAAUUGUUGAGUGUGGCUACGAGCACAGUAGCUAUAACGGCUGACAGAACUGGAAAGUUCGUUUUUCUGAGGUGAGUGACUUUUCAUUUCGUAACAAGUUGCGAAAAUAACUUUGGAAUAAUGACACUUACAUGUAGUCUGACAAUAUCUCAU